AUUGAACGCUGGCGGCAUGCUUUACACAUGCAAGUCGAACGGCAGCACGGGGGCCACUCUGGUGGCGAGUGGCGAACGGGUGAGUCAUUCAUCGGAACGUGCCCGGUCGUGGGGGAUAAGGUAGCGACAGUUACGCUAAUCUCGCAUCCGAUCUGAUGUUGAACGCGGGGGUCCUUCGGGCCUCGCGGGUUCUGAGCAGCCGAUGACAGAUUAGGUAGUUGGUGGGGUAAAGGCUUACCAAGCCGACGAUCUGUAGCUGGUCUGAGAGGACGACCAGCCACACUGGGACUGAGACACGGCCCAGACUCCUACGGGAGGCAGCAGUGGGGAAUUUUGCACAAUGGGCGAAAGCCUGAUCCAGCCAUUCCGCGUGCAGGACGAAGGCCUUCGGGUGGUAAACUGCUGUUGUAUGGAACGAAAAGGCUCUGGCUAAUACCUGGGGCUCAUGACGGUACCGUAAGAAUAAGCACCGGCUAACUACGUG
rnacentral:rRNA from 1 species